CGACCGAAUGCACUGAACGCAGUAUUGUUAUUUCUUGUCGCGUUUCUCCAGGGAACGUUUCCUUUUCUUCUGCCUCAUUCGCUUCGUAGCACGAAAUGGCCGACCAGAACAACAACGUCUACACGACGGUUUGAAUACGACA
rnacentral:ribozyme from 1 species